GUACAGUUCACCUUAUGCUUUGUCAUCUAAAAACGCAUACCUGAUGGCUUUAUGAAGGCGGUACGUUAAUAUUAAGUUUACAGAAAGCGAUCGCUAAGUCCGUGACUUAUGAAAAUCACGAUGUACGCAUUCAUGCAAUAAAAGAUGACGCGAAUUUCGGUUUCGAAUCUGUUUUUUGGAUGCGUAGUAGUUUCGUUUGACAUGCGAUCGCGCGUCGACAUCGGACGCUAUGGCACACUCGUGCCUUAUGUGCCACCGAAGCCCCGAAGUGGUCUGGCAUAUACCUUCACAUGUAAGUAAACGAAUGUAUCUCCUUGUUGAGAAUAUCACGCGAGUAGGCAGCUCUUGUGGUACAUCACAAUCGUUUGAGAAGCGUCACAGUAGAGCAUUUUUCUGCAUCCGGAGCGGUGUUUUUAUUUGCAGGUUUCCCUUCAGUAGGAAAUUGCUGGACAGGCGGACCAGCGCACCGGAAUUGUACUGGCGAAGCCACAAGCAACUCAAAGAAUCUGUUUAAUUGUUGCACUUUGAACAAUCAUGCUUCUACAAAGGCCACAGCAGAUCAACAGCCUGAUGCCGAGUAUUUCUGUGCCACGAAGUAAUCAAGAGGCGAGUGCCUAAUGCGGACGAAAUCGAGUGCAUCGAGACUUAGAACGACAGAAAGCUGAGCUAGUUGACAAUGCCUACGCCUAGCCACAGCAGCUCCCUCAUACAGACUCCACAAACCAAGAGGCCGUGGAGGCAAAUGCAGGCAGCCAGCACACCUCGAACAGCCACCUUGACUGCGGGUGUGUCACCCUAGUCGCCAAGGAAACAUUUGAGGGAAAGUGACAGGCAAUGUGAACAGCCACUUCUCCAUGUAAACAAUACUCUUUCUCUCGGAUGACUCCUACGCCUCACCACGCCAGCACACUUGUGCACAAAGAUGCCGCAGAGGCACGUGCAGGUCAGAGGCAAGAAGCAGUGGCACUGGUGUCGACAUUUACCCAAUUUCUUUUUCUUGCACUGAGGCAGCCAGCACACCUCGAACAGCCACCUUGACUGCGGCUGUGUCAGUAGAUUCCUGUUGUACAUAUGCUCAUAAUAAACUUCAGUAAACCUGAACUUCAUAAUAAACUUGAAGGCAAAUGGGA